rnacentral:lncRNA from 1 species
UGACGAGGAGCGGUACCGCGGUUACCGGGAGUACCAGGCGGAGCGUGGCUACAGCGGCGGUGGUGACCGCGGAGGAGGUGACCGCGGAGGAGGGGAGCGUGGAGGCGUAGACCGUGGAGGUGACCGUGGAGGGGGGGAGCGUGGCGGUGACCGUGGGAGUGGUGGUGAGCGUGGUGGUGGAGGCGGGGAGCGUCACAGAGACAGGUCGAGCCGUGAGAAGGAGGAGAGACACAGAGAGAGAAGACACAGAGAGAAGGAGGAGGGGAGACACAAGUCAUCACGCAGUAGCAGCAGGAGGAGACAUGAUAGUGAAGAAGGAGACGGUCACAGGAGACACAAACACAAGAAGAGCAAGAGGAGCAAGGAGGGCAAGGAACCUAGUGAUGACAUGGGAGGAGACCAGGAGAACCAGGACACCAUGGAGUGAUGAAGAGAACACCCUCCUCUCCCUCUGUAUCUCUCUCUCUCUCUGUCUACAUGGGAGGAGACCAGGAGAACCAGGACACCAUGGAGUGAUGAAGAAAACACCCUCCUCUCCCUCUCCUCAUCUCUCUCCCUCUGUUUCCCUCUAUACGUCCCUCCAUCUUUCUCUCUCUCCUCUCUCCCUCAGAGCACUGUUGUAGUUGAUCAUGCUCAGAGGUCGUUGUUGUUUACCCGUUCCCUUCGUAGUCAUGACGAUCAUAAACAACCCUCAUCUUCUGUCAUUUAUUUUCGUCCCUCUAUUUUCUUAACCAAACACCUCGCUGAAAGAUGUCAAUUUGUUGAAUUAAAAAACAAGCUUUUGAUAACUUCUGUGUGUUGGGUGGUUUCUGUGUGUGUGUGUGUGUGUGUGGCUGGUUGGUGUGUGUGUGUGUGUGUGUGUGUGUGUGUGGCUGGUUGGUGUGUGUGUUGGGUGGUUUCUGUGUAUGGCUGGUUGGUGUGUGUGUGUGUGUGUGUGUGUGUGUGUGGCUGGUUGGUGUGUGUGUUGGGUGGUUUCUGUGUGUGGCUGGUUGGUGUGUGUGUGGCUGGUUGGUGUGUGUGUUGGGUGGUUUCUGUGUGUGGCUGGUUGGUGUGUGUGUGUGGCUGGUUGGUGUGUGUGUGUGUGUGUGGCUGGUUGGUGUGUGUGUUGGGUGGUUUCUGUGUAUGGCUGGUUGGUGUGUGUGUGUGUGUGUGUGUUGGGUGGUUUCUGUGUAUGGCUGGUUGGUGUGUGUGUGUGGCUGGUUGGUGUGUGUGUUGGGUGGUUUCUGUGUAUGGCUGGUUGGUGUGUGUGUGUGGCUGGAGGUGUGUUACUCUACAGUCUACUAUCAGGGUAGUGACCAUGCUGGAGGUGUGUUACUCUACAGUCUACUAUCAGGGUAGUGACCAUGCUGGAGGUGUGUUACUCUACAGUCUACUAUCAGGGUAGUGACCAUGCUGGAGGUAUGUUACUGUACUCUACAGUCUACUAUCAGGGUAGUGACCAUGCUGGAGGUGUGUUACUCUACAGUCUACUAUCAGGGUAGUCACCAUGCUGGAGGUGUGUUACUCUACAGUCUACUAUCAGGGUAGUGACCAUGCUGGAGGUGUGUUAC